AUAUGGGUGUUCUCUGCACCUGUGCUCAGGUCCGGACUGCCGUCAGCAGUGGUAAUGGCGGCAGAAUGGGUUUGGAAAUAGGUGUGGGCUGAGAAUUCUUUCUAGGAAAUAUCACUGCGAGAGCACUUGCUUUUUGUUGUUGAGGGAAAAAAUGGACCCCUUGAUGGAGUGAACUGGGGUGUCUCUUAGCUUCACGGGAGGAAGGGCAUCAAAGUGUUUCAUCCACUUCCCCGUCUGAGCCAAUAGCCACUGUCUCUACCAUUUUGUAAUCCUAAAUAGGAAUACUGGACAGAGGUAGAACACUGAAAGAGUAAAUUAUUCUUAGCCAUUUCAAAGAUGUUCACAGUCAUUUAUGCUUCUUCUACUUCCACCGAAAGCCGCAGUAAGUCUGGUUUCAACCACUGCUGUGUGAAGGUUCAUUACUGAAUGCAAGUUCAUUAUUUUAACAGAGCUCUUGAUUACAUUCUUUACUGGACUUGAUGCUCCUGAAAACUGAUCUUACUACAUUAUUGCUUCUACUGUGAAUGGACAGGCUCCUCGAUUCGCUAAAGACACCACUCCACUAGGGAUCACUUUUGAAUGACUGUAGCACAGCCUUCUCCAUGAGAGAAUGCAAGAGAAGGGCCAGACGGGUGCCCUGGGAUUACUACAACAAUCAGCUCAGCAGCGGGGAAGGUAAAAUAGUGUCCUGCUAACAUGAUGGAAUGCUUUAUCCACAUUCCGAAAGCUUAAAAGCGGUGCCAGCUUUGGAAUCCUAUAGCAGUAAGGGCAGGGACUGGUCACACUGCACUCCUACUGCUGCUUGAGUAAAAUUUAAUAUACAGUGACUUCCGGCUUCCCACCUGCUGAGCCAUGCUGUAGGAAUUGCCUGAAUUCACUGAGCAGCUUCCAAAAGUUCCAAACAUUUCAUAUAUGAGAUCUCUCAUGAGUACAGUGUUCCUCCGAAAAGGGAGUUCAGUGCCUUGUCUGACUUCAUUGAGUGAAUAGUAAGGGAGAUUCGAAGAGAGCUGGCUAAGCAAGGACUAACAUUUAGGAAAAGAAGGAGUUCUUUUGUCCAUUCUGGCUCUGCUGCAAAGUUUCUAUCAGACCAGAUGGAAGGCAUUCAGUUACUCAAUGAGCAUUCAUCCUUCAUUCAUUCAUCAAUUUGAAUGUCUAGUAUGUGACAGUCACUGUGCUACUAGUCAUGGGAAGUGGGAUAGACAUGGAAUCUACCUUCAUGGAGAGAACAGUCUAGGAGCUGAUUGUCUUAUUAUGGGCUAGAUGCUGCAAAGGAAAUACAGUCAUCUUAUAAAAUCUCUUUAUUUCAAGGAAACCCAUGGCCACCCACAUGCCAAGCUCCUUCCUGCCUCAGGGCCUUUGCAUGUGCCCUUUCCAUCUGCCUAAUGCUCUUUUUCUGACCACAGAGAUUUCAACUCAAAUGCUUUCUCCUCACAGAAACCUUCCCUGAGCAUCUUAUCUAAUGUUAUCUUUCUUGUUCACUUUAUUAUAUCAUUGCUUUCUUUUCUUCACUCUGAAAUUAGUGCAUUUAUCUGUGUGCCUGUUCAUUCUAUUUCACACACUUGAGCAUAGCUCCAUGGUAACAGAAUCUCAUUUGUAUCCCCAGAACCCGAAGAGCACCGAGUGUUCAACCACAUUUGUUGAGGCACUGAAGGAGUUCAAAGGGGAGUAAGACCCCCAUCUCAUCCUCAAGAACUGGUAACGCGUUUGGAGAGACUUGAAACUUAAAGCCAACCGACAACAUCAGGAGGGGAUGUUGAGUGACAGUGAACUAUUCUGCUGAUGCACCAAAAGAGAACAAUUAUCGCUGUGAGCAAUUCAGAUUUUUGCUUGAAGAUGUGGUUUUUAAGAGCAAAAUAUUCCUGAAACCAUUUUCCAGUAGUGAAAUACUCAUAUAACCAAGUUAACAGUUUACUCUAAAACUGUGAUCAUAGUAUUUCAAAGGAAGACUACAUUUUUUCUUUUUCUUUUUCUUUUUUUUUUUUUUUUUGUAGCCUCAGGCCUAAACCGGACUAAAUUUAAAUGUUAGCAGAUUAUCCCGUAGAAGGUGGUUGCGCUUUUGACCUGGAACCUGAAGACCUGGUGUGUUCAGUUUGUAAAAAUUCAUCAAGCUGUAAUCUCAUGAUAUGUUUACUUUGUGAAAAAAAAGAAGUAACAGGCCCCAAAUGGAGUCACUUGUGCUCAGCCCUAUGUCAGCAAAUUGGGACUUAACACCUUAACCUAACCGCAGUUUCAGCCUCUCCCCAAAGUGGAAAAUUAAACCAAUCCGUCUGGAAUUUCCUGGUCAACACUAGAGAGGAUAGAGCCCUGCCCCCCUCCCCCACAGUAAGGUAACCCUGCCUGAAAUAAUGCUUUCUUUUGUUUAUGAUGUCCUGUCCCUGUCCCUUUCUGACUAUGAAAGCCUUCUACUUUGUGCAGCUCCUCAGAGCUCCUUCCUAUUUGUUCAAUGGGAUACUGUCCUAUUCAUGAUCCCAGCACCGCCCCCCUCCCCCCGCCCCUGGCCCUUUUUUUUUUUUCUUUUGAGAGAAAGAGAGAGAGAAAAUGUGAGUGCAAGUGGUGGAGAGGGGCAAAGGGAGAGAAUUAAUCUG